AGAGUCGUGACUUCUCAGUAUAAAACAGUGGCUGACCAGGAGAUGUCAGUCACUACACGGGUUCAGUGUGGCAACUUCUGACGUUAGGUCGAUACUCAUCAGUGACGACUAAACCAGUGGGGCAAUGAUGGCCAGGUUACGUAGCAGUCGCACUACUUUCUAAGAGUCGAGGUCAUUGGCUCUGUGAAAUACGGAUCGCCCAUCAUGACCGGUUGCUUAAGGAUGACUCCCACAUCAUAUAGUUUUCUGCUCUUCAAUACACUUGUUGCUCUGAUAACCAACGAGGCGAACGCUCUGUCACAUUUUCGUUGCAACGUGAAGACCAGCGACAGACUGUUCUUUCCAGAUCAAUUAGAAUAUCUCCAAGUUUGGGCAUCCCACUGCGCUUGUGAUGACCUCAUAUACUGGCCACCUAACAACAGGUGUUAUAAGGAGUCGACGCAAGGACCAUGUUCUAUUGGGCGUAUUCUGGUAUUUGAUAGAACGAAGAUUGAGCCACGGUGUGAGACUAGCUCCGAGCAGUAACACCAAGGACUUCUCUCCCGGUUUUGUAUGGGAAAAGUGCCAUUUCAUUUAUUAAAAAUCAAUAAAAAAUUACAUAUACUCCGUGUUUUAUAAAUCUGCAGGGUCUGUGAACGUACAAAAGAAAGCGCGUAAUAAAUUUGUACAUUCUGUGCAUAAUUUUCGGAGUCGUCGUUAUUGUAAUUUGUAUACAGGUACCUACUAAAUGUAUUAAAAUCUUCAGAUUUAAGUAAGAUCACUUAACGUUAACAUA